GAACGCCAGCGACAGGCCUAACACAUGCAAGUCGAGGGGCAGCACAAGGAGCAAUCUGAGGUGGCGACCGGCGCACGGGUGAGUAACACGUAUGCAACCUGCCUGUAAGCGGGGAAUAACCCGUUGAAAGACGGACUAAUACCGCAUAAUACUAAAUUACUGCAUGGUAAUUUAUUUAAACAUUUAUGGCUUACAGAUGGGCAUGCGCAUGAUUAGCUAGUUGGAGAGGUAACGGCUCCCCAAGGCAACGAUCAUUAGGGGUUCUGAGAGGAAGGUCCCCCACACUGGUACUGAGACACGGACCAGACUCCUACGGGAGGCAGCAGUGAGGAAUAUUGGUCAAUGGACGAGAGUCUGAACCAGCCAAGUCGCGUGCAGGAAGAAUGUCCUAUGGAUUGUAAACUGCUUUUGCAGGGGAAUAAAGUGCAUCACGUGUGAUGUUUUGUAUGUACUCUGCGAAUAAGGAUCGGCUAACUCCGUGCCAGCAGCUGC
rnacentral:rRNA from 1 species